rnacentral:tRNA from 1 species
UUAUAGGAAGCAUUAGAUUGUAUGUGGUUUCGGCCUACAAGGAUGGGGUAUAACAACUACUCCCCUAUUAG